ACGGCCAUACCACAUUGAAAACACCGGUUCUCGUUCGAUCACCGAAGUUAAGCAAUGUCGGGCCCGGUCAGUACUUGGGAGGGUGACCACCUGGGAACACCGGGUGCUGUAGGCU